GACGAACGCUGGCGGCGUGCUUAACACAUGCAAGUCGAACGGAAAGACCCUGCGUUUGUGCGGUGCUCGAUUGCCGAACGGGUGAGUAUCACGUGUGUAUCCUGCCCUUGUCUUUGGGGUAACUUCACGAAACUGGGGCUAAUAUCGGAUAGGAUCUCCUGCUGCAUGGUGGGGGUUGGAAAGUUUCGGCUGUUGGGGAUGGACUGGCGGCUUAUCAGCUUGUUGGUGGGGUAGUGGCUUACCCAGGCUUUGAGGGGUAGCCGGCCUGAGAGGGUGACCGGCCACCUUGGGACUGAGGUACGGCCCAGACGCGUACGGGCGGCAGCAGGGGGGAAUAUUGCACAAUGGGCGGAAGCCUGAUGCAGAAGCCCUGCGUGCGGGAAAACGGCCUUCGGGGGGUAAACAACUUUCGCCUGUAACGAACAGUGCGUGACGGUAACGGGUAAAAAAGCCACGGCUAACUACGUG
rnacentral:rRNA from 1 species